UAUCGAAUAAACUUGAACAGGCUGUUGCUGGUCUCCUCAGGGAGAUUACGUGCACGCUUGUCUCAUCUUUGUUAUUUCUCCAACUGUGCACCUUUUGUAGACCCUGGAGCUUUAUGAAUUUUCUGAAAAUUCGAGUCAGGACUGCUGUUUCAGCUUUGCCUUGCAUCUCCAGGUUCUAUGUCAUUUUUCACAACCUCUUCAUAUGUUUAGAAUGUUUGGAAAUAUAAAAUUGAAAUAUACAACUUUCAGCAACGGAUCUCUUGGCUCUCGCAUCGAUGAAGAACGCAGCGAAAUGCGAUAAGUAAUGUGAAUUGCAGAAUUCAGUGAAUCAUCGAAUCUUUGAACGCAUCUUGCGCUCCUUGGUAUUCCGAGGAGCAUGCCUGUUUGAGUGUCAUUUAACUUCUCAACCAACAUCAGAUGAUGUUGGCUUGGAUGUGGGGGUUGUUUUUGCAGGCUUUUUCUUGUUAGAAGGUCGGCUCCCCUGAAAUGGAUUAGUGGUAUCUGAGGCUACUACUGUGGGUGUGAUAACUAUCUAUGCCUUUGGUAUGCCGCAUGAACAGAUUACACUGCUUCUAACAAAACAAAAUUGAUAA
rnacentral:rRNA from 1 species